AGCGAACGCUGGCGGCAGGCCUAACACAUGCAAGUCGAGCGCCCCGCAAGGGGAGCGGCAGACGGGAGAGUAACACGUGGGAACGUACCCUUCGGUUCGGAACAACCCAGGGAGACUUGGGCUAAUACCGGAUACGUCCGAAAGGAGAAAGAUUUAUCGCCGAGGGAUCGGCCCGCGUCUGAUUAGCUAGUUGGUGGGGUAACGGCACACCAAGGCGACGAUCAGUAGCUGGUCUGAGAGGAUGAUCAGCCGCACUGGGACUGAGACACGGCCCAGACUCCUACGGGAGGCAGCAGUGGGGAAUAUUGGACAAUGGGCGCAAGCCUGAUCCAGCCAUGCCGCGUGGGUGAUGAAGGCCCUAGGGUUGUAAAGCCCUUUAGGCGGGGAAGAUAAUGACGGUACCCGCAGAAGAAGCCCCGGCUAACUUCGUGCCAGCCGCCGCCGUAAGAC
rnacentral:rRNA from 1 species